AAUAAAUUAAAAAUUGUAAUUAAAAAAAAAGAUUUUAUGAAAAUCCACUUGGCUUAAGGAAUGAUACAGGCAGUUGAAACACUAAACAAAGAGUUACAAGUUAAAGAAGAAGCAUCACCAACCAUUCUUAAAAAUAAUAGAAAAAAGAAAAAAGUAACAACUCACUUUCUCCCCAAAAAAUUGUGAUACCUAAAGUAUAAGCAAUAUCAUUACAUGUAAGUUAAAUAUUUUAAAAGAUAAAUAUUAAAAGGAAGUUUCUAUUGUUAAUUUAUUACAG